rnacentral:rRNA from 1 species
GAAUCGCAUGGCCUUGCGCCGGCGAUGGUUCAUUCAAAUUUCUGCCCUACCAACUUUCGAUGGUAGGAUAGUGGCCUACCAUGGUGGCAACGGGUAACGGGGAAUUAGGGUUCGAUUCCGGAGAGGGAGCCUGAGAAACGGCUACCACAUCCAAGGAAGGCAGCAGGCGCGCAAAUUACCCAAUCCCGAUACGGGGAGGUAGUGACAAUAAAUACUGAUACAGGGCUCUUUUGGGUCUUGUAAUUGGAAUGAGAACAAUCUAAAUCCCUUAACGAGGAACAAUUGGAGGGCAAGUCUGGUGCCAGCAGCCGCGGUAAUUCCAGCUCCAAUAGCGUAUAUUAAAGUUGUUGCAGUUAAAAAGCUCGUAGUUGAACCUUGGGCCCGUCCUGCCGGUCCGCCUCACCGCGAGUACUGGUCCGGAUGGGCCUUUCUUUCUGGGGAAUCCCAUGGCCUUCACUGGCUGUGGCGGGGAACCAGGACUUUUACUGUGAAAAAAUUAGAGUGUUCAAAGCAGGCCUUUGCUCGGAUACGUUAGCAUGGAAUAAUAGAAUAGGACGUGCGGUUCUAUUUUGUUGGUUUCUAGGACCGCCGUAAUGAUUAAUAGGGAUAGUCGGGGGCGUCAGUAUUCAGCUGUCAGAGGUGAAAUUCUUGGAUUUGCUGAAGACUAACUACUGCGAAAGCAUUCGCCAAGGAUGUUUUUCAUUAAUCAGGGAACGAAAGUUAGGGGAUCGAAGACGAUCAGAUACCGUCGUAGUCUUAACCAUAAACUAUGCCGACUAGGGAUCGGGCGGGGUUUCUAUGAUGACCCGCUCGGCACCUUACGAGAAAUCAAAGUUUUUGGGUUCUGGGGGGGGUAUGGUCGCAAGGC